rnacentral:rRNA from 1 species
GACGAACGCUGGCGGCGUGCUUAACACAUGCAAGUCGAACGGAAAGGCCCUGCUUUUGUGGGGUGCUCGAGUGGCGAACGGGUGAGUAACACGUGAGUAACCUGCCCUUGACUUUGGGAUAACUUCAGGAAACUGGGGCUAAUACCGGAUAGGAGCUCCUGCUGCAUGGUGGGGGUUGGAAAGUUUCGGCGGUUGGGGAUGGACUCGCGGCUUAUCAGCUUGUUGGUGGGGUAGUGGCUUACCAAGGCUUUGACGGGUAGCCGGCCUGAGAGGGUGACCGGCCACAAUGGGACUGAGAUACGGCCCAGACUCCUACGGGAGGCAGCAGUGGGGAAUAUUGCACAAUGGGCGGAAGCCAGAUGCAGCAACGCCGCGUGCGGGAUGACGGCCUUCGGGUUGUAAACCGCUUUCGCCUGUGACGAAGCGUGAGUGACGGUAAUGGGUAAAGAAGCACCGGCUAACUACGUG